rnacentral:lncRNA from 1 species
GAGAGUUAAGAGUUGAUUUUAGCAAAAAUUACUUGAAGAAGAUAGAAUUGAUAUCUAGAAAGGAAUAAUUGCUAAUCAAGGUUAAAAUUAGAUCUCAAGGCAUAAAUCUAAGUAACUAUAGCAAUUCUAUGGUUUUUUUUGCAAAUCAAAGAAUAGAAUUUGAGAGCAAACUUGAAGAGAGAUUUUUGAAUGUUUAUUUCAUAUAAUUUGGAUUAAUAUUAAGAU